rnacentral:rRNA from 1 species
GGUGAGGUAAUGGCUCACCAAGGCUAUGACGCCUAACUGGUUUGAGAGGAUGAUCAGUCACACUGGAACUGAGACACGGUCCAGACUCCUACGGGAGGCAGCAGUGGGGAAUAUUGCACAAUGGACGAAAGUCUGAUGCAGCAACGCCGCGUGGAGGAUGACACAUUUCGGUGCGUAAACUCCUUUUAUAUAGGAAGAUAAUGACGGUACUAUAUGAAUAAGCACCGGCUAACUCCGUGCCAGCAGCCGCGGUAAUACGGAGGGUGCAAGCGUUACUCGGAAUCACUGGGCGUAAAGAGCGUGUAGGCGGGUAUAUAAGUCAGAAGUGAAAUCCAAUAGCUUAACUAUUGAACUGCUUUUGAAACUGUAUACCUAGAAUGUGGGAGAGGUAGAUGGAAUUUCUGGUGUAGGGGUAAAAUCCGUAGAGAUCAGAAGGAAUACCGAUUGCGAAGGCGAUCUACUGGAACAUUAUUGACGCUGAGACGCGAAAGCGUGGGGAGCAAACAGGAUUAGAUACCCUGGUAGUCCACGCCCUAAACGAUGUACACUAGUUGUUGUGAGGCUCGACCUUGCAGUAAUGCAGUUAACACAUUAAGUGUACCGCCUGGGGAGUACGGUCGCAAGAUUAAAACUCAAAGGAAUAGACAGGGACCCGCACAAGCGGUGGAGCAUGUGGUUUAAUUCGACGAUACACGAAGAACCCUUACCUGGACUUGACAUAGUAAGAACUUUCUAGAGAUAGAUUGGUGUCUGCUUUGCAGAAACUUAUAUACAGUGCUGCACGGCUUUCGUCAGCUCGUGUCGUG